UAGUCCAUGAAAGGAAUUGAAUAUAUUGAACCCAUAGAGAUAUAAAGUAUAAUGGGUUUACUCAUUAGAAUGAAGAGGACAAUUUAUUGAAGUGUUCAGCUAAUAAACAAUAAAGAAACAUUAGGAUUAAAUCAUUCAGUUAUUAUGUCAACACCAGUGUUUGGCGAACGCAUUACAUAAGCAACGCGUUACUGUAAUCCAUUACAUUAGACAGUAACUGAGUAAUAUAACGUGCUACUAAAUAAACUACGUUAAUAUUAUUACAGUUACUGAGUCCGGUAACGCACGUUACAAUCCAAGCUGUCUCACACGCGAGGUGUUUUUGAAAAAAAAAACCACACAGGCGCAACAGUCGUAAAUAAAGAGAUGAAGAAGACUGUUUUAAAUCAACGCAAGAACAAGACGAUUUGGUUUGGAGAUUUCAAGAUGGCAACAACGAAGGAUAAUCCAACAUUUUCUAAGUGGUUAUACUAGCACUAUUUUCAAUUUAUCAGAGAAAUAGACAAGAACCUGGCAGUAAGGUGCACUUAAUGUGGUGUUAGGAAGUCUGGUAAUAAGUUACUUAUUACUUUUUACUCUACACAGAAGGUAAUAUUGUAAAAAAUCUAUUACUUUCAAAUGCAAGUAACUAGUAAUAUGAAAUACAUUACAUUUUGGAAGUAACUUGGCCAACACGGGGACUAAUAAAGUGGAGACUGAUCACUUAUUUUGAUGAUUACACCUGGAGCCGAAAGAUAAGUGAGGAAAAGCUGCAUCUAUUUACCUAUGUUUAGUAUCUACGUCACUACAACAACAAACAGCCAUUUCAUCACUAGACAAAUGCAUGAUAGUAUGACGUCAUAACACAAUCGUAACUAAAAAUAAUGGUAAUUUUAAAGAGUAAUUUAGUUCUAGAGUUGAAGCAAAGGGGAAGGAAUGCGCACUUCGUGCUCCGGGGUGUGGAUCAGGCUAUUUUAAUGAGAGCAUAUUGUUUUUCACCUUUUUACCGGUCCCCCUUUAAAAAUGAAGAACUUCUUCCUACUUGGAUAUAAAAGAAGUCUGGAGCAUCAAAAAGAAUUGGAAAUGAUUUAUUUUGAAGAAAACAAAGUUUCGUCAUAACGUCAGAUAAAAAAAUAACUUAGAUUUUUCUUCUUUGCCAUCUACCAUCCAUCUUAUAGAUGGCAUAAAUUACUUGUUUUUUGAACUUUUUAUGGACUACCCUCUCAAAUUCAAUAUUCAAUCCAAAUUUUUGACCAUCUCUACUUUAAAUUAUGCUAUCUUGAUUCCAUAGUCGCUCAUAAUACAAUUCCACAUAUAUGUUCUUCUAAUAAAAUUCCAACUCUUAUCUCAAGUCAGAAAUUUGCUUGCUUUUGUGAAAGCACUUCCAUCUAAUGAUGUUCUACAGGCAAAAAUAUAAUCCUGCAUCACGUUUCUUAAAAGUCUUGGAUAUGAACAAGAGGAGGAUCAGAAGAAAGUGAAUUUUAUUUCUAAGAAACUAUAAUUAUUAACAAGUCCAAUGAAAGGAAGAUGCUACUCAUGGAAGUUGCUUGCUAUAUACAUGCUGUGGGAAACAUGUUGUCCUUCUAUUUAUAAAACCAUAGUAAAAGAGGUUUGCCUUUGUUUACCUAUUGUUUUGUAUUUGCAAAAAUUAUCUGCGGCCUUCAAUUGAAAUAAUACGAUAUCUUCUUCUACCAAUUUAUAUCUUAAGACGCUCGUUAAUUCAAUUUUUCCUGAAAAUAGAAAAGUGCCUUCAAUAUUCGACGAAUAUUACCUCACAAAGGAUUGAGUGUGUUGGGGGAAAGUCUAAAACUGAUGGGACACCCACAAGAACGGUGCUAUAUUAAAAAUGUACCAAAGAAAUGUAAUGCUAUUGUAACAAUGGGUCCAAUUGUUCUAGCUUUUCUAUAUGAAAGAAGAGAGUGUGGGAAAUAUUACGGUUCAGUGACUUACCUGGGCCGUUCUAGGCCCGCUCAAAUUUUGGAUAUGUUAUAAAAUAUAAACAUUGAGAUAUAUUCUACAAAAAUUAAAGCAAAUUCGAUUUUGCUGCUUGGCAGGGGCACCAUUUUGAAGGCUAUACCAGAUACUCAAACACUUAUUUUUUAUUCAAAUAAGAUGAUGAUUAUAUAUAAAUUAUAGCUUGUGUUCUAUCGCCUCUUUUGAUGUAAUUUUUGUUGAAAUCGUCUGAAACUGAACACACCUUUAAAUUUUACGCCAUGCACAUAUUCGUGAUUUUUUUUAGUUAAAACCGGGUUAUACUCCGAGGCAAGUGUCUUGACUAGUUAUAAACAAACUCCAGCAAGAUCUAUAUAGCAACAGUGAACCAACAGUCGAUAAUAUGGAGAGACGUCAAGUCCAAUUUUUGGAACUUUCUGUGCAGGGAAAAACUUCCACAGAAAUUGCCAAGGUUCUGAACUGCAGCCGCACCACCGUUUACAGCGUUGUAGCCAAAGGGACUCCUGAGGCAACCACAAAAUAUAAGUCAAUAACUCCAAGGUCGGACGAAAUGGUUGCUGCCGUGAAAAAUUCUGAUAGAAAUGUGAAAUGUGAUCUCAUCUUCUUGGAGGACCACGAUAGUCUUAACUCCGAGACGUACUGCCAAUACUUGGAGGACAAAGUGUUCCCUUGGCCCAGGGCUACUUACGGGGACAGGUGGUCGUGGCAUAAGGACGGUGCCAGCUGCCACACAAAUAGCUUUACCCAAGAGUUUCUUCAGAUCGAGACUCCAGCCUUCUUCGAUCGGAAUUCUUGGCUGCCUCACUCGCCUGAUUGUUCACCAAUUGACUUCGCAGUAUUUGGGCUUUUAAAGGGGAUGCUAUCGGGAGUCCAAUACAAGUCCAAGGACCAACUGAAGUCUGCCCUCAAGAAUGCCUGAACCAACCUCGACCAGAGCUUCAUCGCCGAGUCAUGCAUCAAGUUCCGGUCCAUGCUGGAGUUGGUAGUGGAGAACAUGGGUGGCCAUAUUGAAUAGACAUGUGUCUAUGACUCUCAUCUUUCAUAUUAAAUCAAUUAAUUCGUCGACCACUUUAAAAAUUACACAAUUAUUUAACUAUUUAAAAAAAAUUCUGAGUGUUCUGUUUUAGACGCGCACACAUGUACAAUUCUUUUAAAAAUAUUUCAAAGGAAAUUAAGUACAAAAGGAGCCGUCUCAGAGAUUCACAAGCAAUAUUCAUAGUACUUUAGUUGGAAGGAUUUUCCUUUAUUACUGGAAUUAUCCACAGAUUAUGUGAUAAACUCCGUCAAUUAACAAUGUAGACUACAUAGUUUUGAAUUUGCUUUAGAUAUCUAGUCAAUCGUAUCCCUUGGUAUGGCCCUACGCCAUUUGGUUAGUUUUUUUUUUUUUUUUUUUUAAUAUUUCAUGUGGAAUCUUUGAAAGUUCACAUCCGGAUCCUUUCUAAUACCGACAUAGCUCUGCUUGUAUCAAGGAGUAGAACACUUGUACAGGAUGAUUAAUUAUAAAUUGAGAAUAACUGAAAAAACUAAUUAACUAUUGUAAACUACGUUUUCCUUAUAAAACAGCCUCUGUGUGUGGAAAAAAAGUGAGCGGAAUUUUGAGAUGCACUUCCGGUUGUUUUGGUAUUUCUUGAGAUAUCACAUAUUAUAAUUGAAUUAUUGUCAACAAAAGGUAACUUUUUGAUAUUGAUAGAAGUGCCAUUAGAAGCAAUAAGUUAAUUGAAAUUCUAAUCAUUUUCUGUAGCUCAGCAAACUUCUCUAAAUAAACUGCUGGUACACAAUUGAGUGAACUCUUUGAAAGAGUUUUCGCCACGUUAUUUUUGCAGCCCUUGACAUGUCCGAUGCCCCUUGUAAACUCUGCGAUAAAAGUUUACUUUUUCACAAUAAAGAAUGUGUUUAAACUUUUCGUUUUAUCAUCCUGGCCAUUAGACCCAUCAUUCUUUUGUAAUUUUCUGUCGGUGAACCUGUGAAAAAAGUAUAAUGUUUUUCAUUUAAUACAUGAUUUCCCUAAAAUAUGAUUAAUUUGCGACUAAUAUAAAGUAACUAUACUAAUUUUUGAUAAAUACAACAUAACAGUUAUGGAAGUGAAUUUUGUUGAAUAAAUACAGUGUAGAGUUUUGUAAAAUC
rnacentral:lncRNA from 1 species